rnacentral:rRNA from 1 species
AUUGAACGCUGGCGGCAUGCUUUACACAUGCAAGUCGAACGGUAACAGGCCGCAAGGCGCUGACGAGUGGCGAACGGGUGAGUAAUGCAUCGGAACGUGCCCAGUCGUGGGGGAUAACGCAGCGAAAGCUGUGCUAAUACCGCAUACGAUCUAUGGAUGAAAGCGGGGGACCGUAAGGCCUCGCGCGAUUGGAGCGGCCGAUGUCAGAGUAGGUAGUUGGUGGGGUAAAGGCCUACCAAGCCGACGAUCUGUAGCUGGUCUGAGAGGACUACCAGCCACACGGGGACUGAGACACGGCCCAGACUCCUACGGGAGGCAGCAGUGGGGAAUUUUGGACAAUGGGCGCAAGCCUGAUCCAGCAAUGCCGAGUGCAGGAAGAAGGCCUUCGGGUUGUAAACUGCUUUUGUACGGAACGAAACGGUCUGGGUUAAUACCCUGGGCUAAUGACGGUACCGUAAGAAUAAGCACCGGCUAACUACGUGCCAGCCGCCGCCGUAACAC